rnacentral:rRNA from 1 species
CGCCUGUCGAACCUGCCCAGUGAUAAAUAUUUAACGGCCGCGGUACUCUGACCGUGCAAAGGUAGCAUAAUCAUUUGCCUUAUAAUUGAAGGCUUGUAUGAAUGGUUUGACGAAAACAAAGCUGUCUCUUUUUAAUUUUAUAAAACUUGAUUUUUAGGUGAAGAAGCCUAAAUAAAAUUGAAAGACAAGAAGACCCUAUCGAGCUUUAAAAAAUUUUAUUAAUAUAUAAUGACUAAAAUAGAUCAACUAUAAUAAAAAAUUUUAGUUGGGGCGACUAAGGAACAAAAAAGCUUCCUUUAUAAAAUAUAAAGCAAAUAAGCUAUGAUCCAAAAUUUUUGAUUAAAAAAAUUAGUUACCGUAGGGAUAACAGCAUAAUCUUUUUUGAGAGUUCUUAUCGAAAAAAAGGUUUGUGACCUCGAUGUUGGACUAGAAUAUCCUAAAUGAUGCAGAAGUCUUUAAGG